rnacentral:misc_RNA from 1 species
AGUCAUCAACCCCUUCCGUUUCGUGCGGAGAGGGUUGGAAGUGGGGGCUCUGCUGCCGUGAGGCGGCUCCCCUCAAAUGCAUCGGUUGGGCCUGUGGGUCGAACUCGACUGGGCGUUGUACCAUCCUCGCUUUACAGAGUCCGUUCCCCUUUCCGUGCCCUCCCCCGACCUGCCUGCUAGAGUGGCGGUCAAGCAACAAACUUUGAA